rnacentral:rRNA from 1 species
ACGAACGCUGGCGGCGUGCUUAACCCCUGCAAGUCGAACGGAAAGGCCCUGCUUUUGUGGGGUGCUCGAGUGGCGAACGGGUGAGUAACACGUGAGUAACCUGCCCUUGACUUUGGGAUAACUUCAGGAAACUGGGGCUAAUACCGGAUAGGAGCUCCUGCUGCAUGGUGGGGGUUGGAAAGUUUCGGCGGUUGGGGAUGGACUCGCGGCUUAUCAGCUUGUUGGUGGGUAGUGGCUUACCAAGGCUUUGACGGGUAGCCGGCCUGAGAGGGUGACCGGCCACAUUGGGACUGAGAUACGGCCCAGACUCCUACGGGAGGCAGCAGUGGGGAAUAUUGCACAAUGGGCGGAAGCCUGAUGCAGCAACGCCGCGUGCGGGAUGACGGCCUUCGGGUUGUAAACCGCUUUCGCCUGUGACGAAGCGUGAGUGACGGUAAUGGGUAAAGAAGCACCGGCUAACUACGUG